AAGCAUGGUAACUGUCACUUUCUCCUUCAUAACUUUUUCCUCACAAGCCUUCCAAGAAUACACUGAAGUUGUGGUAUCUUCCCAUCCAAGAGUGAGCAGGACCCCAUGUGGUGCUGGAGACAGAUGAGAGGAGCUUGAAAGAAGGAAGCCGUGGGAAUGCCUGGCCAAGGCAUUUGACCAACAGUGACUUGAGAGCUGUGGGACCCUCACGAGAUGCCGCAGAUAGAAUACCUGACCAAAACCACUUACAGAUGGUAGAGUUUAUUUUACUUUGGCUCAUAUAUCAUUGGCAUGAAGUCAUGGCAUCAGGAAUGUGCGACAACUGGUUCCACUUCACCUACCAGCAAGAAGCAUAGAGAGGAGAUUACAGUUAAUAGAGUACAUGAAUCUCAGAAGAGACUUUGAACUUUAGACCUUUAAAUAAAGUUGUAGAACUCUCAGCUCCUUCUCCAGCACCAUGUCUGCCUUCACACCACUAUGUCCUGCCAUGAUGAUAAUGGACUAAAUCUCUGAAAAUUUUGUCUCAUAGCACACAGAACUACCAGCCCAACAUGACUGCCUAAACAUGAGAAGAACAAGGACAACAACAACAGACAUGCUAAUGUGGACAGAUAAAGCCCACGAGGCCUCCAUCCUACACGAAGAACUGCAGGUAACCAAGGAACACUGAGAGUGGGAGAAAUAUUCUUCCUUGGGGAACAGCACACUGAUUGGUUAUCCGACACCAAAUGGUCAGCCC
rnacentral:lncRNA from 1 species